rnacentral:rRNA from 1 species
UACAGAGGGUGCAAGCGUUAAUCGGAAUUACUGGGCGUAAAGCGUGCGCAGGCGGCUUUGCAAGACAGAUGUGAAAUCCCCGGGCUCAACCUGGGAACUGCAUUUGUGACUGCAUGGCUAGAGUGCGGCAGAGGGGGAUGGAAUUCCGCGUGUAGCAGUGAAAUGCGUAGAUAUGCGGAGGAACACCGAUGGCGAAGGCAAUCCCCUGGGCCUGCACUGACGCUCAUGCACGAAAGCGUGGGGAGCAAACAGG